CGACUCUCGGCAACGGAUAUCUCGGCUCUCGCAUCGAUGAAGAACGUAGCGAAAUGCGAUACUUGGUGUGAAUUGCAGAAUCCCGUGAACCAUCGAGUCUUUGAACGCAAGUUGCGCCCGAAGCCGUCCGGCCGAGGGCACGUCUGCCUGGGCGUCACG
rnacentral:rRNA from 2 species